rnacentral:rRNA from 1 species
UACAGAGGUCUCAAGCGUUGUUCGGAUUCAUUGGGCGUAAAGGGUGUGUAGGUGGCGCCGUUAGUCGGGUGUGAAAUUUCGGAGCUUAACUCCGAAACUGCAUUCGAUACUGCGGUGCUUGAGGACUGGAGAGGAGACUGGAAUUCAUGGUGUAGCAGUGAAAUGCGUAGAGAUCAUGAGGAACACCAAUAGCGAAGGCAGCUCGCUGGGACGGUACUGACGCUAAGGCGCGAAAGCGUGGGGAGCGAACAGG